rnacentral:tRNA from 1 species
UAGGGGAGAGCUUGACUCUUAAGCAGUUUACUUACACUAAAAUGAUCCUAAAUUAGGUCCCUUAA